CAACUUUCAACAACGGAUCUCUUGGCUCUCGCAUCGAUGAAGAACGCAGCGAAAUGCGAUACGUAAUGUGAAUUGCAGAAUUCAGUGAAUCAUCGAAUCUUUGAACGCACAUUGCACUCUCUGGUAUUCCGGAGAGUAUGCUUGUUUGAGUAUCUGUA
rnacentral:rRNA from 10 species